AUUGAACGCUGGCGGCAUGCUUUACACAUGCAAGUCGAACGGUAACAGGCCGCAAGGUGCUGACGAGCGGCGAACGGGGGAGUAAUGCAUCGGAACGUGCCCAGUCGUGGGGGAUAACGCAGCGAAAGCUGUGCUCAUACCGCAUACGAUCGAUGGAUGAAAGCGGGGGACAGUAAGGCCGCGCCCGCUUGGAACGGCCGAUGUCAGAUUCGGUAGUUGGUGGGGUAAAGGCCCACCAAGCCAACGAUCUGUAGCUGGUAUGAGAGGACGACCAGCCACACUGAGACAGAGACACGGCCCACACUCCUACGGGAGGCAGCAGUGGGGAAUUUUGGACAAUGGGCGCAGCCUGAUCCAGCAAUGCCGCGUGCAGGAAGAAGGCCUUCGGGUUGUAAACUGCUUUUGUACGGAACGAAAAGGUCUGGGUUAAUACCCUGGGCUGAUGACGGUACCGUAAGAAUAAGCACCGGCUAACUACGUGCCAGCCGCCGCCGUAAAAC
rnacentral:rRNA from 1 species